AACUCAGCCGCCUUAGCGUCUUAGAGAAGAGGACGGCAUGCAUGCGGACCCCGUCCACCACACCUGGAGAGCAGGGAGCCCUUAGUCCCUGGACACUUACCAGGGCCGCCACCCCUGGUCCACGCACGUGAUGACAUCUCACCAGGGGCAGCACACCGCCCGAGUCCGCGACACUGAUAACACCUCCUGCGGGCAGGAGGGCGCCACAGCCACCCCUGGUCCCCUAGAUUGUGUGAGGCUAGCAUUUCUGCCCGCCUCUUGGCGUGGACAGCACGCUGGACCGAGAUGGAACCACAGCUUUCUCUUCCCAAUCCCUGGCCUCACCGUUUUGUUUCAUACCUCACCGUUUGUUUCAAACCUCGUGGUGUUGAAAUGAUUAAAUGAGAUUAAGGGGUGUGUGGUAGUGUUGGGCAAACCACAAGAAAACGGUCUGGGUGGGGUCUGGCCCUAAAAUCUUCCUCCCCCACCUCCCAGGCUUCCUUGCCUUGCUGCUUCCUCUCAGCCUUUAAACAGGUUGGCCUCUCCAAGUCCUAAAAACAAAAUUAUCAAGCCAACCUCCUCCUGAAGUGCUCCCUCCAACUAGCUUCCAAGUGUUUCAUGCGGACCUCAAACAAUGGUCUUCCCUGGCUGCCUCUGCUUCCUCAUUUCUCAACACUUGGCAUUCUGGCUUCUCCUCCCCAACUCUAACCCUUCACCUUGCUCAGGCAAGAGCAACUCAUGACUUUCAUUUUGCCAAACCUUGCAGGCAUUCCUCAGGCCUUAUCUCUCUGGUUCUUUCUGCUACAUUUGACACCUUGGGAUGACUCUCACCUUCUGGAAUCUCUCUACUACCUUGGUUUCAGAAGAGUGAACCCUCUGGAUUAUCACAUGAAGCCUCCGCAGGUGCUUCCUCUGUCCUUCUCUAAAUGUUGCUGUUCCCCAAGGCUCAACCCAGGAUCCAUUCCUGUGUCUACACAAGCUACUUCCUGUGAGCAGCCCAGGGAUGGCCAGUCACUUGUGACCUACUUUCAGAGCUGGCAGUUCUGACUUCUAGAACAAACUCGGAACAAGCCCAUCUACAGCUGGUUGACUGAGUUUCCUUUGGGCUCCUGGCACCAGAAAGAAUUGCUCACUGGAAGGAUCAUAGGUGGCACUCAUGUCUCACUGCCCCACUCAGGGAGAUGGGGCCCCAUGGUUGUGCUUUAAGGAUGCUGUGGACUCCCUACAAUGUCAGCAACUGCUGUGUGCACCUGUAGCUCUCCAUUUCUCUCGAGAGAAGUCCUGUAGUUCUUCGCAAAUCCUUUUCAAAGGGGACUCGUGAUUCCAGAAGCAUCGAAGCCUUGAGGCUUGCCUGGAGAUUUUAGGUCUGGUGGCUGCAGAUGCAUAUGAGAUGUGGACUGCAAGAUAUUUCUCUACUGUUCAAAUCACGUGUUGGAGGCGACUCCCUAAAGUCAUAGGAUCUCAAAAUUGAAAGGAGCCUUAGGAAUAACCUAGUUUUCAGCACCGAAGCGAAGCUCUCAAGACUUUGUCAAAGGUCAGGCAGUUAACUUAAUGGCCGCAGGAAAAGCAAAGUCCAGGUC
ensembl:lncRNA ATP13A3-DT ATP13A3 divergent transcript